rnacentral:tRNA from 1 species
UCCAUUCUGGUCUAACGGUAUGACGCCCGACUGUUACUCGGUAAGGUCCACGUUCGAAUCGUGGGGAUGGAGCCA